AAGGAAGUGGCAGAGUGGUUAUGCAGUUGGCUUGAAACCAGAUCAUGGGGGUUCGAUUCCUCCCUUACUCG
rnacentral:tRNA from 1 species